GCUUGAUUAGUGUAGCGGUAUCAUACAUCCUUCCCAAGGAUGUGACAGGGGUUCGACUCCCCUAUCAAGCA
rfam:Lipomyces starkeyi NRRL Y-11557 unplaced genomic scaffold LIPSTscaffold_7, whole genome shotgun sequence.